rnacentral:misc_RNA from 1 species
CCAAUAGCGUAUAUUAAAGUUGUUGCAGUUAAAAAGCUCGUAGUUGAAUUUCGGGGUUAGUAGGUUGGUCAUGCCUCUGGUAUGUACUGGUCUCACUGAUUCCUCCUUCCUUAUGAACCGUAAUGCCAUUAAUUUGGUGUUGCGGGGAAUUUGGACUGUUACUUUGAAAAAAUUAGAGUGUUUAAAGCAAGCUAACGCUUGAAUACAUUAGCAUGGAAUAAUGAAAUAGGACGUUCGAUCUUAUUUUGUUGGUUUCUGGGAUUGACGUAAUGAUUAAUAGGGAUAGUUGGGGGCAUUAGGAUUCAAUUGUCAGAGGUGAAAUUCUUGGAUUUAUUGAAGACUAACUACUGCGAAAGCAUUUGCCAAGGAUGUUGUCAUUAAUCAAGAACGAAAGUUAGGGGAUCGAAGACGAUCAGAUACCGUCGUAGUCUUAACCAUAAACUAUGCCGACUAGGGAUCGGAUGAUGUUAAUUUUUUAAUGACUCAUUCGGCGCCUUACG